UACGUAGGGGGCAAGCGUUGUCCGGAUUUAUUGGGCGUAAAGAGCGUGUAGGCGGUUCGGUAAGUCUGCCGUGAAAACCUGGGGCUCAACCCUGGGCGUGCGGUGGAUACUGCCGGGCUAGAGGAUGGUAGAGGCGAGUGGAAUUCCCGGUGUAGCGGUGAAAUGCGCAGAUAUCGGGAGGAACACCAGUAGCGAAGGCGGCUCGCUGGGCCAUUCCUGACGCUGAGACGCGAAAGCAUGGGGAGCGAACAGG
rnacentral:rRNA from 1 species